rnacentral:rRNA from 1 species
CCUACGGGGGGCAGCAGUGAGGAAUAUUGGUCAAUGGACGAGAGUCUGAACCAACCAAGUAGCGUGAAGGAUGACUGCCCUAUGGGUUGUAAACUUCUUUUAUAUGGGAAUAAAACGUUCCACGUGUGGGAUUUUGUAUGUACCAUAUGAAUAAGGAUCGGCUAACUCCGUGCCAGCAGCCGCGGUAAUACGGAGGGUCCGAGCGUUAUCCGGAUUUAUUGGGUUUAAAGGGAGCGUAGGUGGAUUGUUAAGUCAGUUGUGAAAGUUUGCGGCUCAACCGUAAAAUUGCAGUUGAAACUGGCAGUCUUGAGUACAGUAGAGGUGGGCGGAAUUCGUGGUGUAGCGGUGAAAUGCUUAGAUAUCACGAAGAACUCCGAUUGCGAAGGCAGUUCACUGGACUGCAACUGACACUGAGGCUCGAAAGUGUGGGUAUCAAACAGGAUUAGAUACCCCGGUAGUC